rnacentral:misc_RNA from 1 species
UUUAACGAUUUAUAUCUAUACUCAGACGGCACAGUUAUCAGAAUUUAAGAUGGCUACCGGCGGGCACGGGCCAGGGGCGGUAAAGCCCCCAGCGGCCCCAGAGGGCGGGCCCGCCAAAGCAACGUGGUUGGUUAAACAAAGGGUUGGAGGUCGGGCCUGGAAGACCCUUACUCGGUAAUGAUCCUUCCGCAGGUUCACUAGAAGAAAUGUUAGCAACUGUCACAAAGUGUUUUUAGGGGGGGGGUUUGUUCAACGUACCCUACGGAAA